UACGUAGGGUGCAAGCGUUGUCCGGAAUUAUUGGGCGUAAAGAGCUCGUAGGCGGUUUGUCGCGUCUGCUGUGAAAACGCGAGGCUCAACCUCGCGCCUGCAGUGGGUACGGGCAGACUAGAGUGCGGUAGGGGAGAUUGGAAUUCCUGGUGUAGCGGUGGAAUGCGCAGAUAUCAGGAGGAACACCAAUGGCGAAGGCAGAUCUCUGGGCCGUAACUGACGCUGAGAAACGAAAUCAUGGGGAGCAAACAGG
rnacentral:rRNA from 1 species